CCUACGGGUGGCUGCAGUGAGGAAUAUUGGUCAAUGGACGCAAGUCUGAACCAGCCAUGCCGCGUGCAGGAAGACGGCUCUAUGAGUUGUAAACUGCUUUUGUACGAGGGUAAACGCAGAUACGCGUAUCUGUCUGAAAGUAUCGUACGAAUAAGGAUCGGCUAACUCCGUGCCAGCAGCCGCGGUAAUACGGAGGGUUCAAGCGUUAUCCGGAUUUAUUGGGUUUAAAGGGUGCGUAGGCGGUCGGAUAAGUUAGAGGUGAAAGCCCGGGGCUCAACUUCGGAAUUGCCUUUGAUACUGUUCGGCUAGAGAGUAGGUGGGGUAGGCGGAAUGCUUGGUGUAGCGGUGAAAUGCGUAGAGAUCAUGAAGAACACCGAUUGCGAAGGCAGCUUACCAGGCUACUUCUGACGUUGAGGCACGAAAGCGUGGGGAGCGAACAGGAUUAGAUACCCUAGUAGUC
rnacentral:rRNA from 1 species